UACGUAGGGUGCAAGCGUUGUCCGGAAUUAUUGGGCGUAAAGAGCUCGUAGGCGGUCUGUCGCGUCGAAUGUGAAAAUCCGGGGCUCAACUCCGGACCUGCAUUCGAUACGGGCAGACUAGAGUUCGGUAGGGGAGACUGGAAUUCCUGGUGUAGCGGUGAAAUGCGCAGAUAUCAGGAGGAACACCGGUGGCGAAGGCGGGUCUCUGGGCAGUAACUGACGCUGAGGCGCGAAAGCGUGGGGAGCGAACAGG
rnacentral:rRNA from 1 species